GUCAAUCACUAGGGGAGCACAUUGGUGCUGAGAGAAUAAAUUCGACCCUUUGAACCUGAACUGGUUAAUACUAGCGUAGGGAAGUGCAGGAGAAAGUUC
rnacentral:ncRNA from 2 species